AAAAAAAAAAGAAGCAAACAAUAUGAUUUCCUUAUUGGAAAAAUGGGUCCACAAAUUUUACAUUUCAAUUCCAUUUGUUCCAAUCAUACCACUGAUUUGAAUUCAUCCUAAGAACAUGAUUCUAAAAACACAAAAAUAUUUGUACACACAAACAUUGAUUCAGAUCCCCCCUGCUCUGCACCAGAACAGCUAGGGAUGGACUCAUUCUCAAAGGACAGCGCACAGGGGCCAGUGUCCUGGACAUUAGAGGGUUACUGCUCAGCAGUGCAGUGAGAAGGUCAGCUAUCAACAGCAGGCCAGCAAGGCCCUGUUGCAUAUACCAAGGACUGAUGGGUGCUUACUGGAAACACUUUGUAAGACUGAACAACAGUUACUCCAUCUUUGUAAUAGGGCCCCAACUUUCUGCUUCCGUUACGGAUCACCAGGUAGACAUCAAGUUCCAGAGAUGUGUUUGUUGUUGUGCCAGGAAGGUCUGUUGUGGGCAUAGUGUUCUGUCUUCUUGCUCACUUCCCCUGCGGUCUGUUUUUAUCUCUCUCCUCCGCUUUUGUAUUUCUGCUUGCCAACUUCCCCUGCGACCCCCUAUAAAAACAGCUUUGGACUCUGAGCCAGUUGCCUCUCUAAGCUACUUUGCUUUGGGAGUGCCAUCUGGCCAGACUAAUAAAGGUCUGUUUUACUUUCCAACUUGUCCGGUGUGUUCCUUCCUGGGUGUUCUUCGCUGCAGUCAGCUCCUUGGAGCAUUUGGUAAGGCCCUCGGUCUUACGUUCUGGAGGGCCCAGCGAGAUACCUGGGUAGGAACCCCUGGUUCAGCUGAGACUCCGUGGCGGGAUCCAGCAGGAGACUCUCAGGCACAGACCUCAGAAAACCUCCAGAGGUAAGCUUUUGGCCGGUUGCAACUGUUUGUUAAGUCAGGAGUGAGGUGGCUGACGAGCCGGGAAGCCUCCCCUGACCCCAAGUUUCCUGACGAGGAACAAGGGAAGGUUUAAUUUCAGUUUGUCGUGGCGCCCGUUUGUCUUGUCUUUUGUAUAUUAAUGUUGUGUCUGUUGUGUGUUUGAUUUUACAUUUUUUUCUUUCCAAUCUUCAUCAGGAGCAGAGUAAUUGGAGGAACCUGUUCUACCGGGUCCACUCCGCUUGACUGCUUUCUCACUAAUUUUAAAUUGGCUUUUUCUCCAGAACAAGAAGAUGAAUAUGGGGUGAAAUUUUCUUGCGGAAAACUCCACUCCCUGUGCCAACUGGAAUGGCCAGCCUUCGUGGUGGGAUGGCCAGCCGAAGGGACUUUUGAGCCCAGUGUUUGCUGGGUGGUUUGGGGCAAGGUCACUGGUCACCCUGGCCACCCAGACCAAUUUCCCUACAUAGACAUCUGGGUUCAGGCUUGUGAGAAACCUCGGGCUUGGCUGCAGCACUGUUCCCUCCGAACAGACACUUGCAUUUUAGUCGCUGCCCCAAAAGAGCCCCGGGAACUUAAGCCCCGGGCUCCUAAGCUGGUUCUCUCACAGGAGCCUGACCCCCUGGAUCCCUUAGAAGAGGCCCCACCCUAUGUGGAAUCCUCCACCCCCUCAGAUGGCUCCCGCUCUAGACCCCACAAUCCUUCCCUUCCUCCGUCUGUUCAACCUUCAGCUCCUACUCCUCUCUAUCCUCCUCUCCCUGAGGGGCCUCAGUCCCGGACUCUGUGACUUCUCCCCCACACACAUGAGCUGGGGCUGCGUCUGGGCCUUGCGAGGUCCCCACCAGGGAAAUUAGUUCGGCCCCUCUCUUGCCCCUUCGGGAGACAGAACAAGGUCACUAUGUUUAUAUCCCUUUCACUACUAGUGACUUAUAUAAUUGGAAACAUCAAAAUCCUCCCUUCUCAGAGAGGCCCCAAGCCCUAAUAUCUCUUCUAGAGUCUAUCUUCCAUACCCAUGAUCCUACUUGGGAUGAUUGCCAACAACUCCAGGCCCUUUUUACCUCAGAGGAGAGGGAAAGGAUCCGGAGCCAAGCUGUAAGGUCAGUACUAGGCAGAGCAGAGGGCCCCCACACUGGUGCUGCCAGAGAAACCAGAGUACACAGAUGAAGAAACGGUGGAAAUGACCAAAAAGUGGUGGACCCAAGGUAAACAUGGAUGGUGGACGACCGAGGAUGGAAAAGUGGUGCUCCCAGCCACUGUAGCAGACACACUGCUACAAGAACUGUAUGGGUCUACCCACAUUGGUGAGAAAAGAAUGAUGGCCACUCUGCAACCCCAUUUCAUCAACAAGGGAAUGGCACAAAAGGCCAAAGACCUAGUGAGACGAUGCCCCACCUGUAUCAAGGUUUGACUCCAAGACCCUUGAACCCCGCUGGAAGGGACCAUUUCCUGUUGUCCUGGUGACUCCUUCAGCAAUAAAGGUAGCUGGACACUCUGCCUGGAUCCAUCACAGCCAUUUAAAGGCAGCACCCCCCAGAGGAAGCGACGUCAACAUGGCGGAUCGAUCGGAACACAAAGGACCCCCUCAAGAUAAGAUUGAUCAAAGACUAGUUUGGACAAUAUGGGGGUUCUUGGGGCUACUGUUCUUACCAGCCCCAAUGGAAGGGGGAGCUGGAUGCCAGCUGGUGUUGUCCAGCCACACUCCCCAGAGCUGGACUUUGUCCUUGAAAAAUGCCUUAACGGGAGCUCACAUUGCCACCAUUACCACUGAUAGACAAUCCUAUUUUAUUAUAGAUCUGUGUUCUCUGGGGCUUCCAAUCAUUAGUGGUGGAGGGGCUGGAUCAAAGGGUAAAGUUUCAUCUGGAAAGAUGGGUAAAGGGGGCCGCGGAGGGAGGUGUGGAAUAGAUGAUAAGUUGGAAAAAACCCUCCAAGAUAUAGAUAUUUAUGCCUGCUCCAUAGGGAAAAAUAAAAGGUGCAAUGGGGGACCAGGAAACCACUGUCAUCAUUGGAGUUGUGAAUCUAUUGCCCUGUGGAAAAAUGAUGAUGCAUAUUUGGCCUUGGAAUGACAAACACCAAGUGGUUCAUGUUCCAAAGGAAAAUGUAAUCCCAUCAAGCUAACCUUAAAACAAUGGCAAAAUCCAUAUAAAGAUUGGGAAAAAGGAAAAUCCUGGACAGUGGCACUCUAUGUGGGUGGAAAGGACCCUAUGACUGACCUCCUCAACCAGCGUAGCCCAGUAAUAGUACUGCCUAAACCGGUAGGCAACAUUUAUAGGGUCUCCUGCCC